ensembl:snRNA U6 U6 spliceosomal RNA
GUGCUUGCUUUGGCAGCACAUAUACCAAAAUUGGAACAAUAUGGAGAAGAUUCGCAUGGCCCCUUUGUAAGGAUGACACGCAAAUUCAUGAAGGAUCCCAUAGUUUA